AUGAACUCCUCCCUUAUUAGCCUCUUGAUGUACCUCAUGGGAUUAUAUAGUCUACAUGAAUGCCUUCAUCAUGAGGUCACCAAGCUCCUCUCCAGAUUCUUCUGGGCUGGAGAGAAUAAUAAACAGAAGUACCACAUGGUGAAGUGGUCUGAGAUUUGUAAGCCCAAAGACCAAGGAGGCCUUGGGGUCAUCUCAUCCAAGUGGAUGAAUAUUGCCCUCCUCUCCAAAUGGCUUUGGCAUAUUCGUACCGAUGAGGAAGGCUUGUGGUUGGAGAUUAUCUACGUGAAGUACCUUCGCGGGCCUCUAGAUCUAGAGGGUCCCAAUUCUAGCAAGCGGUGA
rnacentral:rRNA from 1 species